UGCUUUCAAGUUCUUCCUUCAGAGUGAGAGUUCUGCACAGUUAAAUGCUUCAAUCACUGAAGCUUGAUAGGAACUUCCUGUUUUCUUUCUUUGGUAUUCUAAGUUCUGUUUUAUAGUAUCAGUAACUGCAGGAUUCUGAGUGCAAAGCUUUACAUAGCACAACAAAGUGGCUUCUUACUAUUAGCCCAAAGAAAAUGUGUUUCGGGUUAAUGGCAAUACGGUGACUUUCCAUAAAAACUCCUUUUGACCCGUUAUUUCCAUUCUAUGCAGGCAAAAUGGAUCCUUCUCUCUUUGCGUUCAGUGAUGAGCAAGCAUUUCAAGUGUACAUACGACUUGUUUCUGUCAAUCAGCGAUUCACACAGAGUCAUGCUCAACCAUGUUACUACAAUCUGGAAUUUGCAAAUCUGUAAGCAUUUUUCCGACGAUGAAUUACGUCAACACAAUUGCACCAUCGUUGACCGAAAAGGAGCGUCUCGGCACUGCUGCUGCGGGAAUUUUUCUUUAGAGAAAACUCAGUAACACGGGAAAAAUUUGGCCAUGGGAAAAUUAUCAUCGUUCCGCAAGAAAAACAUUUACAUAAGUCAUGGUGCACCCUGAUGAACGGUCAUCAUUAGACACAGCAUUAGAGAAAUGCAAAGAUGUUUGUGACACACUGUUAAGGAUGAAUGGAAAACUGGUAAUAAAGCCCAACAGCAUAAACUCGUCUCUGAAAACUGCGCGUGUGCUUAUGUAUACACGUAAAACGCAUCCAGAAAGCUCUACAGCAAUGAGUCAAAAAUGCCACAUCCAGCCACGUGGGAUUAUGUUUUUCUACCUUUUUCUUUUCUUUUUUCAGUAUAAGUUACUGAUGUUGUCUAACGAGUAUGUAUUUCUAUUGUAAUAAUAAAAAUUCUUUCAUUUUUCACUAAUA